rnacentral:rRNA from 1 species
CUCAAAUGAAUUGACGGGGACCCGCACAAGCAGCGGAGCAUGUGGUUUAAUUCGAAGCAACGCGAAGAACCUUACCAGGCCUUGACAUCCUCUGACAAUCCUAGAGAUAGGACGUUUCCUUCGGGAACAGAGAGACAGGUGGUGCAUGGUUGUCGUCAGCUCGUGUCGUGAGAUGUUGGGUUAAGUCCCGCAACGAGCGCAACCCUUGCCUUUAGUUGCCAGCAUUGAGUUGGGCACUCUAAAGGGACUGCCGUANACAAUACGGAGGAAGGUGGGGACGACGUCAAAUCAUCAUGCCCCUUAUGGCCUGGGCUACACACGUGCUACAAUGGGUUGGGACAAAGGGAAGCGAAGCCGCGAGGUGAAGCCAAUCCCAUAAAACAACCCCCAGUUCGGAUUGCAGGCUGAAACCCGCCUGCAUGAAGUUGGAGUUGCUAGUAAUCGCAGAUCA